GGACCAAGGAGUCUAGCAUGUGCGCGAGUCAUUGGGAUACUUGACUAAACCUAAAGGCGCAAUGAAAGUGAAGGUCCGCCGUGCGCGGACCGAGGGAAGAUGGGCGGUCCCGAGGGACCGCCYCGCAYUCCCGGGGCGUCUCGUUCUCAUCGCGAGAAGAGGCGCACCCAGAGCGUACACGCUGGGACCCGAAAGAUGGUGAACUAUGCCUGGUCAGGACGAAGUCAGGGGAAACCCUGAUGGAGGUCCGUAGCGAUUCUGACGUGCAAAUCGAUCGUCGGAACUGGGUAUAGGGGCGAAAGACUAAUCGAACCAUCUAGUAGCUGGUUCCCUCCGAAGUUUCCCUCAGGAUAGCUGGCGCUCGCUUCUCGCGAGUCUCAUUCGGUAAAGCGAAUGAUUAGAGGCAUUGGGGUCGAAACGGCCUCAACCUAUUCUCAAACUUUAAAUGGGUGAGAUCUCCGGCUUGCUUGAACUGUGAAGCCGCGAGAUAUCGGAUCAGAGUGCCAAGUGGGCCACUUUUGGUAAGCAGAACUGGCGCUGUGGGAUGAACCAAACGCUGAGUUAAAGCGCCUAAAUCGACGCUUAUGGGAUACCAUGAAAGGCGUUGGU
rnacentral:rRNA from 1 species